AAAUGUCCGGAUUAUAUAUAUAAUAAAUUUUUGCAUAGUGUUUAGAGCGGAUGUUCUCAAAAUUCUGGCUAUUAUUCGACUCCUAUCGCUUGUAAUUUGUAUUCGGCCGAAAUUGAAAGGAGAAGAGCAAGGGGAGGAAUUGGAAGCGAAUAUUUGAGAUGGCUGAGGAAUCUCCUUCUGGAGGGCAUUUUGAGAGGGAUCUUUCUGUAAUUUCCGUUCAGGACUCAAGUGGCGGAAUGAGUAUGCUCGAACCUGAUCAGAUGAUGGAUAAUAAUUCAAAUGAUGUCGAGGAAGUCAAAGGUGGGAAUCUGAACUUAAUUGAUGUGGAUGAUUGCAAGGGGAAAAUACAAGAUGUUGAAGAUGAUGGAGUUCCUACUGUGGGAAUGGUGUUCAAAACCUUUGAAGAAGUAUAUGAUUUUUAUAACCAGUAUGCUCGGCGUGUGGGGUUCGGUACAAAGAUUAGGAGGUCAUGGUACAGUCUUGAUGAUGGGCAAUGCAACAAAUUCAUGCUCACUUGUUGCAAAGAGGGUAAGAGAGAGUACAAGAACUCGGAACGCUGCAGCUCAUAUAGAUUAAGGCUAGCUGCUCGAACUGAUUGUCAAGCCAGGAUUAAAGUUUUUAAGAAAUAUUCUGAUGGGAUGUUUCACUUAACAGAAGUUAAUCUUGAACAUAACCAUCCUGUUAGCCCAUCAAUGUCAAGAUUCUUUCGUUCUCACAAGGACUUGAAUGAUGGUGCAAAAAAGCUGCCAGUUAUGAGAGGGAAAGGGCAUAGGGAUAUAUCAUUGGGUGAGAAUGAACAAGAGCAUUCUUCAAUAAAAGCACGGUCUUCUUUCCUAGGGAAGGAUGAUCUUGAAGCUCUUCAACAAUUUUUAGCUCGAAUGCAGACCAAUGGCACAAACUUCUUCCAUUUGAUGGAUUUAGAUGAGGAUGGAUACCUUAAGAAUGUCUUCUGGGCUGACGGCAGGUGUAAGGCAGCAUAUCAGUACUAUGGUGAUGUUGUGACAUUUGAUACUACCUAUCUUACAACUAAUUUUGAGACACCUUUGGUUUCAUUUGUCGGUGUAAACCAUCAUGGUCACUUGGUGUUGUUUGGUUGUGGUUUGAUUUCUGAUAGAAGUGUUGAGUCCUAUAGGUGGUUAUUUAAGUCAUGGUUAUCAUGCAUGUCAGGAAGUUAUCCAAGUGCCAUAAUAACCGACCAUUUUAAGGCAUUACAAGAAGCAGUUGCAGAGAUCUUUCCAGGUUCCCAUCAUCGUCUUUGUUUAUUGAAUAUAAUGAAGCAAAUGCAAGAGAAUUUGGGGGCAUACCCUGAAUAUAAAACCAUCAAGGGAAUGAUGAAAAAAGUUGUGUGUGACUCAUUGAGGGCUGACGAGUUUGAAGAAGAGUGGAAAAUUAUGAUUGAGAAAUAUGUGCUUGAAGAUAAUGAAUGGCUGAGGUCUCUGUAUGAAAAUAGGCAUUCAUGGGUACCUGCUUUUGUAAAAGAAACUUUUUGGGCAGGUAUGUCAAGCACUCAACAUAAGGAAAAUAUAAAUUCCUUUUUUGAUGGAUUCAUUUAUCCUAAGACAUCCUUAAAGCAGUUCAUUUGCAAGUAUGAGUCCACUUUAAAAUGUAAAUUUGAAAAAGAAGCACAGGCGGACCGUGAUUCUUUUCAUAAAAGCCCACAACUAAUAUCAAAAUUUUACAUGGAGGAUCAACUGCGUAAGCUUUACACAGUAGAUAUGUUCAAAAAAUUUCAAGAAGAAGUUAAAGCCAUAUUAUAUUGUAUUCCUUCACUGGUUAGGGUGGAUGGUCCCGUAUCAAUCUUUGAGGUCAAAGAACCUUUGAGAAUGAAGGAUGGAAAUCAGAUGGAGAACAAGAACUAUGAAGUUACUUAUACCUCAAAUGAGCUGGAGGUGAGAUGCAUAUGUUGCUCAUUCCAAAUGACUGGCAUAUUAUGUAGGCAUACAUUGUCAGUUCUUAACUUUCUUGAGAUCUAUGAAAUCCCAGCUCAUUAUAUUGUUGAGCGCUGGCGAAAGGAUUAUAAGAACAUUCAUGUUCUGCCCUGCUUUUCAAAUGAUAUUGGAGCUAAUGGGCCAGCUGAGCGGUAUGAUAAUUUGUACAAGCAUUGCCUAAAAUUUAUGGAUUUAGGGGCUAGUUCCGAUGGGCUCUAUGAAUAUGCUCUUAAAAUAAUAAGUGAGGCAACAAAUGAACUUUUUGCAAGUGAUCCAACUUCAAGUGACAUACAACCCAGAGCCUGCAAUCCUUUCAAUGAUAAGAGAAUUAUUGGGAAUGAGAAUGAGGAGAUCUACGAUCUUUCAGAAUUGAGGCAGAGAAGUCAGCCACUAAAAAAGAGAAAAGAGUUGGCAGAAAAAACUGUAAAAAACAGCAAAAAGAAGGUUCCACCAAGAAAACCAGUGGUGGCGUGUCAGAAUGAUGUGCUUCGGAUGGCCCCUGAUACCCCACAAUUUGAUGCACACAUUUGGACACAAGACAACAUGAGCCUAGCGGACCAAGUCAGUCCACCUAACCUGUCAAUUGGGAAUCAUUUUGGAGUACAGAUGAGUCAACAACAUGUACUUGACAAUCAAGCAGGGCUACGAUGGAGUUUUCAGCAUAUUUUCCAACAAGCUCACACACCAGAUGGACCUCCAGGCCCAUGGUCUGGUUAGACUUAUGAACCAGCAUCAAAUUAGGAGAACUGGACCAGCAUUUCAACCUUAUGCCAUGAAUUUGGGAGCUUUAUGAACCUCUUGGAAGUUGGCAGUUCAUUUUACUUGCUUUCUUGUUGAAUGUUGCUGUUGAGUUGAGAAGUAAAUGCAAGUGAUUAACAGCCGACCAAUGGCUUCUCGUAGUCCAUAUCCCCUUCAAAUAUUACUGUAAAUAACAUAUUUUCACGAAUAACCUUAUGUUGUUUAUGCGUAUUAUAACUUUGCAGAAGAGAAUAUACUUUUUAGAUCUUUUUUUUAAAAAAUAAAUGUAUCUGAUUUUAAGUGGA